rnacentral:lncRNA from 1 species
UCUCCCUGCACCCCAGAUGUCCACCCUACCUGUUCCCUGACUUCCUCCAUCCUGUCCAGCAGGAUGGGCUGGACAGUGGGACAGCCUGUGUGCAUAUUUUGUGGCAAGUAGGAGUGACACACCAUCCCUGGGAGGCACCAUGGUUCCUGCCAAACCCAACCCCAGAACUCUGUCCCUGAGGUGGUUUUACCAAAACCCAAAACCCAGAACUAUGGUUGUGGGUCAGGGGUCAGCACCUGCUAGUACCAGGACACUACUGGGAGGCUGGGACCUGACUGAAGUCCAUGAUGUCUGUGGCCUGAGGACAGGGUAUGUUGGGGCCAUAAGGCCCGGCCGCCAAUGGCCAUUGGGUCCUAGGGCCUCAGUCCCAGUGUUUGCCCUUCCCUGGCUCCUUCUGGUUCAGUCCCAUUAGGGCCCUGGAGCCCAAGACCCAGCACCCAAGGUCCCCUCCAGGAAUCCUGGCGGCUUGGCUUCCUUUAUCAUGUUUCAUCUGAGAGCAAAAAUGUCAGAUCGGAUGCACAGAAAAAUGGCCCAAAUUGUUUAAUGACUAGAAGAAAUAUAGGAGCAGCAAGAAUGUAAUGUGAAGAGGGGAGGGCCUCCAUGACCGGUGUCUGCAGAGCCAAGGGUACAGGCACCCAGUGUUGUGGCCUGGCACCACUGGCCUCUCAGAGGGUGGGUAGCACACUGUCCUUACCCGGAGGACAGCAGGCCUGAUCACCAGCUUUUCUACCUGUCCCUGUAAGCAUCACAUUGCUAGAAGAAAAUCUCAUGCCAGAGCUUAGACCAUCCCUAGCUCAGAGGUUAGGGGUUGUCUCUUGGUGACCUAAAUGAAAAAAUAGGUCUAGAUCAGAGUUCCUGACGCAGAGCACUCAUCCACUCUUUGAAUCGUUGGAGGAGAGGCCUGGUUUUAGGUAAACCUAACCUCUUUGAGGAACCACAGUGCCCAAGACUGGAAACCUUCAGAAUCUGCUGGCCCCCAACCCUCCCUGGGGACCCCUGUGGCCUAUCUCACCAGAGCACUCUUCUGUCUGUAGAUGUCUCAGCUGCUCUACAAGGGAGUCCCAUUUCAGGUGUGGGGCUGGGCAUGGUCACUCCUGCUGGAUGUCUAGAAGAUGGAAACUAAGGACCUAGGAAAAUGCCAGAUACAGCCUUUCCACCCUCAUCCAGAGCAGGACAAACAGGCCAGGUGGUGUCAGGAGCCCAGGUCUCCAGCUGGAGGGAACGUCAACCCUGCAGUGGGAGCAGGGGCCCAUCGCACAUCCUAGGCACAGAUGCUAAUGUAGGCACUGCAGACCAUAAAGGAGAACAGCAAGAGGCCCCCAGCAAACAUCCACAGAUGGCCCUGGACAUCAGCCACAUUCUGAGAAACAUGUCAUGUUCUGGGAGGGCUAAGGCAUCAAGUAAGGCCUGUGGGGCUGGAGGAUCCCAGGCAAGGUGGGGCAAUCCAGAGCCAUGGGGCCUUCCCAUGGGGAUUGGGAGGUCCCAAGGCAGAGUCAGAGGUUCCACAGGAGGAGUCACAGAGUCACCAAGGGCUCUCCUGGCCCAGGGAGCAGUCAACACCAUGGACUGAACACCUGCUGGGCUCCAAGCCCUGGGCCAGGCUGCCCAUGUGGGGCCAGGAGGCAGCUCAGAGUGGGAGGCAGAGAAGUGUGCUCAGAGGGCACCUGUAUCUGGAUGUAAUGUGGUCCUGAGACUGGCUGAGAAGUGCUUCCAGGGUAUCAUAUGUGUUAUGCAGUUACUUCCUCUCCCCAGCCUUACCCUGUAGAAAUUCUAGUGACUAUGUUGCCACCAUCUUGGAGCUCCAUGCCCUCAUAGUGUAAUGGCACCAGCAGAUCUGCCUGUGCAUGGACUUCCUGUACUACCUCACUCCUGAGGGGAGAUGUUUCUGCAGGGCCUAUGACCUGGUGCACAACUUUAGACACCAUCAUCCUGGAGCAGCACUGCACCCUCACUAGCCAGGGUGUUGACAUCCUCAAGGCCAGGGCCACAUUCAAGACUUUGGACUUCAUUGACGCACUUUUGCUGAGCAAGCUUAUCUGAUCUCCUGGGAUCUCUACUAGGAUGCUGGCAGCCCAGCCGGCUGGUCUGGCCCUGGACGUGCUUUCAGGGGCUGAUUAUGCUUCAUGACCUGUGUUGUGAUCCUGGUCAGAGUAAAACAUUCCAUGGGAACUCGGGCUGUGAGAAACAUCCUAACCACCUGACUGCAGAAACAUCCUUAUCACAUCCUGCUGGGCAAAGGCCCAACAGCCUGACUUCAGGAACAUCCUUAUCAUCUUCUACUGAGCAGCAAGCGAUACUGUCCAGAGCCCUCCCUCCCAGCCCCAUGAUUAC